rnacentral:rRNA from 2 species
GUUUCCGCCCUUCAGUGCCGCAGCUAACGCAUUAAGCAUUCCGCCUGGGGAGUACGACCGCAAGGUUGAAACUCAAAGGAAUUGACGGGGGCCCGCACAAGCGGUGGAGCAUGUGGUUUAAUUCGAAGCAACGCGAAGAACCUUACCAGGUCUUGACAUCUUUUGAUCACCUGAGAGAUCAGGUUUCCCCUUCGGGGGCAAAAUGACAGGUGGUGCAUGGUUGUCGUCAGCUCGUGUCGUGAGAUGUUGGGUUAAGUCCCGCAACGAGCGCAACCCUUAUGACUAGUUGCCAGCAUUUAGUUGGGCACUCUAGUAAGACUGCCGGUGACAAACCGGAGGAAGGUGGGGAUGACGUCAAAUCAUCAUGCCCCUUAUGACCUGGGCUACACACGUGCUACAAUGGAUGGUACAACGAGUUGCGAGACCGCGAGGUCAAGCUAAUCUCUUAAAGCCAUUCUCAGUUCGGACUGUAGGCUGCAACUCGCCUACACGAAGUCGGAAUCGCUAGUAAUCGCGGAUCAGCACGCCGCGGUGAAUACGUUCCCGGGCCUUGUACACACCGCC